GCCUACGGGGGGCAGCAGUCGAGAAUCAUUCCCAAUGGGGGAAACCCUGAUGGUGCGACGCCGCGUGGGGGAAUGAAGGUCUUCGGAUUGUAGACCCCUGUCAUGUGGGAGCAAAUUAAAAAGAUAGUACCACAAGAGGAAGAGACGGCUAACUCUGUGCCAGCAGCCGCGGUAAUACAGAGGUCUCAAGCGUUGUUCGGAAUCACUGGGCGUAAAGCGUGCGUAGGCUGUUUCGUAAGUCGUGUGUGAAAGGCGCGGGCUCAACCCGCGGACGCCACAUGAUACUGCGAGACUAGAGUGAUGGG
rnacentral:rRNA from 1 species